rnacentral:rRNA from 1 species
CCAAAAUAUAUGUUAAGUGGAAAAGGAUGUGGCGUUGCCCAGACAACUAGGAUGUUGGCUUAGAAGCAGCCAUCAUUUAAAGAGUGCGUAAUAGCUCACUAGUCGAGUGACACUGCGCCGAAAAUGUACCGGGGCUAAACAUAUUACCGAAGCUGUGGAUUAUCCGUAAGGAUAAUGGUAGGAGAGCGUUCUAAACGUGUCGAAGCAUGAUCGUAAGGACAUGUGGAAUGUUUAGAAGUGAGAAUGCCGGUGUGAGUAGCGAAAGAUGGGUGAGAAUCCCAUCCACCGAUUGACUAAGGUUUCCAGAGGAAGGCUCGUCCGCUCUGGGUUAGUCGGGACCUAAGCCGAGGCCGAUAGGCGUAGGCGAUGGAUAACAGGUAGAUAUUCCUGUACCACCUAUGAUUGUUUGAACGAUGGGGGGACGCAGUAGGAUAGGCGAAGCGUGCUGUUGGAGUGCACGUCCAAGCAAUAAGACUGAGUGUUAGGCAAAUCCGGCACUCGUAAGGUUGAGUUGUGAUGGGGAGUUGGAUCAUGUAUCCGACGAGUCGUUGAUUUC